rnacentral:rRNA from 1 species
GACGAACGCUGGCGGCGUGCUUAACACAUGCAAGUCGAACGGAAAGGCCCUGCUUUUGUGGGGUGCUCGAGUGGCGAGCGGAUGAGUAACACGUGAGUAACCUGCCCUUGACUUUGGGAUAACUUCAGGAAACUGGGGCUAAUACCGGAUAGGAGCUCCUGCUGCAUGGUGGGGGUUGGAAAGUUUCGGCGGUUGGGGAUGGACUCGCGGCUUAUCAGCUUGUUGGUGGGGUAGUGGCUUACCAAGGCUUUGACGGGUAGCCGGCCUGAGAGGGUGACCGGCCACAUUGGGACUGAGAUACGGCCCAGACUCCUACGGGAGGCAGCAGUGGGGAAUAUUGCACAAUGGGCGGAAGCCUGAUGCAGCAACGCCGCGUGCGGGAUGACGGCCUUCGGGUUGUAAACCGCUUUCGCCUGUGACGAAGCGUGAGUGACGGUAAUGGGUAAAGAAGCACCGGCUAACUACGUG